UAUUAUAGAAAAGAGGAUACACCUGUUCCCAUUCCGAACACAGAAGUUAAGCUCUUUAGCGCCGAUGGUACUUGGUGGGAAGCUGCCUGGGAGAGUAGGACGUA
rnacentral:rRNA from 1 species